rnacentral:rRNA from 1 species
GUGCCAGCCGCUGCGGUAAUACGUAGGGUGCGAGCGUUGUCCGGAUUUAUUGGGCGUAAAGAGCUCGUAGGCGGUUUGUCGCGUCGGCCGUGGAAACUGGAGGCUCAACCUCCAGCGUGCGGUCGAUACGGGCAGACUUGAGUUCGGCAGGGGAGACUGGAAUUCCUGGUGUAGCGGUGGAAUGCGUAGAUAUCAGGAGGAACACCGGUGGCGAAGGCGGGUCUCGUGGGCCGAUACUGACGCUGAGGAGCGAAAGCGUGGGAGCGAACAGGAUUAGAUACCCGUGGUAGUCCACGCCGUAAACGUUGGGCGCGUAGGUGUGGGU